rnacentral:rRNA from 1 species
UGAGGAAUAUUGGUCAAUGGGCGAGAGCCUGAACCGGCCAAGUCGCGUGAAGGAAGACUGCCUUAUGGGUUGUAAACUUCUUUUAUACAGGAAUAAAAAGGCUUACGUGUAGGCCAUUGCAAGUACUGUAUGAAUAAGCAUCGGCUAACUCCGUGCCAGCAGCCGCGGUAAUACGGAGGAUGCGAGCGUUAUCCGGAUUUAUUGGGUUUAAAGGGUGCGCAGGCGGGCUUUUAAGUCAGCGGUGAAAUCUGGACGCUUAACGUCCAAACUGCCGUUGAAACUGGGAGUCUUGAGUAUGGAUGAAGUAGGCGGAAUUCGUUGUGUAGCGGUGACAUGCAUAGAUAUAACGAGGAACUCCGAUUGCGUAGGCAGCUUACUAAGCCAUAACUGACGCUCAUGCACGAAAGCGUGGGGAUCAACAGAUUAGAUACCCUGGUAGUCCACGCCGUAAACGUGAUUACUGUUGAUAGCGAUAAUGAUAGUAUGUGACUAAGCGAAAGCGAUAAGUAAUCCACUGGGAGUACGCCGGCAACGGUGAAACUCAAA